rnacentral:tRNA from 2 species
GCAGUCGUGGCCGAGUGGUUAAGGAGAUGGGCUAGAAAUCCAUUGGGGUCUUUCCCGCACAGGAUCGAAUCCUGUCGACUGCG